GGGUGUGUAGCUCAGGUGGUUAGAGCGUUACGUUGACAUCGUAAAGGUCGCUGGUUCGAGUCCAAUCACACCCACCA
rnacentral:tRNA from 1 species